UACGUAGGGUGCGAGCGUUGUCCGGAUUUAUUGGGCGUAAAGAGCUCGUAGGCGGCUUUGUCAGUCGGGUGUGAAACCUCCAGGCUCAACCUGGAGCCGCCACCCGAUACUGCAAUAGCUAGAGUCCGGUAGGGGAGCAUGGAACUCCUGGUGUAGCGGUGAAAUGCGCAGAUAUCAGGAAGAACACCAGUGGCGAAGGCGGUGCUCUGGGCCGGAACUGACGCUGAGGAGCGAAAGCGUGGGGAGCAAACAGG
rnacentral:rRNA from 1 species